UACGGGGGGGGCAAGCGUUGUUCGGAAUUACUGGGCGUAAAGGGUGCGUAGGCGGUCCGCUAAGUUGGAUGUGAAAACUCUGGGCUUAACCCAGAGCCUGCAUUCAAAACUGACGGGCUAGAGUUCUGGAGGGGGUAGCGGAAUUCCUGGUGUAGCGGUGAAAUGCGUAGAUAUCGGUAGGAACACCAGUGGCGAAGGCGGUUUCCUGGAGCCCACUUGACGCUGAGACGCGAAAGCUGGGGGAGCAAACGGG
rnacentral:rRNA from 1 species